UUGUACUCCUCUUGGGUUGCUAUCACUCUUCUGAAGAUGAGGCCCAGUAAGAAAACCAUCCUAGAUAUCUUGAGAGGAAACUGCUACGAAAACGUAUAUU